GACGAGGGGUCCUAGCGUUGUUCGGAAUCAUUGGGCGUAAAGCGGGUGUAGGUGGCUUUGUAAGUCAGAAGUGAAAGCCCUGGGCUCAACCCAGGAAGUGCUUUUGAUACUGCAGAGCUUGAGUGUGGGAGAGGAUGCUGGAAUUCCAGGUGUAGUGGUGAAAUACGUAGAUAUCUGGAGGAACACCGGUGGCGAAGGCGGGCAUCUGGCCCAACACUGACACUCAGACCCGAAAGCGUGGGGAUCAAACAGG
rnacentral:misc_RNA from 1 species